rnacentral:rRNA from 1 species
GAUGAACGCUGGCGGCGUGCCUAAUACAUGCAAGUCGAGCGAACAGACGAUGAUCUUGCGCGGCGGACGUGAGCGGCGGACGUGUGAAUCACACGUGUAUAACCUACCUGUAUUACUGGUAUAACUUCGGGAAACCGGAGCUAAUACCGUAUAAGAUAUUGAAGCGCAGUGUUCAAUAGUGAGAUACGGUGUUGCGGUCACGUAUAGAGGGAUCCGCGCCGCAUUAGGUGGUUGUGGAGGUAACGGGGUACCAAGGCAACCAGGCGUAGCCGACCUGAGAGGGUGAUAGCCGACAUUGGAGCUGGGCCACGGACAAGAGGACUACGGGAGGCAGCAGUAGGGAAUCUGACGCAAUGGGCGAAAGCCUGACGGAGCAACGGCGAGUGAGUGAUGACGGCCUUGGGAUCGUAAAAAUCUGUUAUUAGGGAAGAACAAAUGUCUAAGUAACUAUGCCCGUAUUGACGGUACCUAAUAAGAAAGCAACGGCUAACUACGUG